AAAACAUCGCCUCUUGUAACUAUAAGAGGUCCAGCCUGCCCAGUGACUUAUGUUAAACGGCCGCGGUAUACUAACCGUGCAAAGGUAGCGCAAUCACUUGUCCCCUAAAUAGGGACUUGUAUGAAUGGCAUCACGAGGAUUUAACUGUCUCCUUUUUCUAAUCAGUGAAACUAAUCUUCCUGUGAAAAAGCAGGAAUACUCAUAUAAGACGAGAAGACCCUAUGAAGCUUUAAACAUAUAACAAAUGCCAUAAACACUUUUCCUGAAACCCAAACAACAGCACAUUGAUUAUAAGUUUUUGGUUGGGGUGACCACGGAGAAAAAUUAAACCUCCGCACUGCCUAAUCUAAAUUUAAAACUAAAAGUUACAACUUUAAUACUCAACAAAUUGACACAAUUGAUCCAAAUAUUUGAUCAAUGAACUAAGUUACUCUAGGGAUAACAGCGCAAUCCACUUCAAGAGCACAUAUCGACAAGUGGGCUUACGACCUCGAUGUUGGAUCAGGGUAUCCUAGUGGUGCAGCCGCUACUAAAGGUUCGUUUGUUCAACGAUUAAAACCCUACGUGAUC
rnacentral:rRNA from 1 species